CAGGCCUAACACAUGCAAGUCGAACGAGCUGAGACCUUCGGGUCUCGAUGCUAGUGGCGCACGGGUGAGUAACGCGUGGGAACGUACCCUUUAGUACGGAAUAACCAAGGGAAACUUUGGCUAAUACCGUAUACGCCCUUCGGGGGAAAGAUUUAUUGCUAAAGGAUCGGCCCGCGUCUGAUUAGGUAGUUGGUGAGGUAACGGCUCACCAAGCCGACGAUCAGUAGCUGGUCUGAGAGGAUGAUCAGCCACACUGGGACUGGGACACGGCCCAGACUCCUACGGGAGGCAGCAGUGGGGAAUAUUGGACAAUGGGCGAAAGCCUGAUCCAGCCAUGCCGCGUGAGUGAAGAAGGCCUUCGGGUUGUAAAGCUCUUUCGACGGGGACGAUGAUGACGGUACCCGUAUAAGAAGCCCCGGCAAACUUCGUGCCAGCAGCAGCCGCGGUAA
rnacentral:rRNA from 1 species